CCUUGGUGCACAAGAGGAACCUCUCGAAAAUUCCACAUCUAUCCAUUCCACAAAAAUCUGCGAGUAUCCUGGCCUGGAAGUACUUUCAUUAACCGUUUGCCCAAAAUUGAAAUCAGUGCAUUUGUUCCUCCCUUCCCUUGUGAAACUAAACAUAGACUUUUGUAAUGAACUUGAGUCAUUUCCUGGGUUGGGUUUACCAUCUAUCCCUGGAAUGAGAUUGUCUUCUAAAUUAGAAUCAGUUCACAUCUGUAACUGCCAGAGACUCUAUUCUGGUCAUCCGCAAUGGAUUUUGCAAAGACUCGCGUCUCUUUCAAGCUUCUCUUUCAGUAGAUGUGAUUUAGUUGAAUCCUUCCCUGAAGAAGAUAUGCUCCUGCCCUCAACACUCACAUCUCUUGAAAUCUCGAGUCUUCCUGAUCUGAUAUCUCUUAACUACAAGGGGCUUUUACACCUCACCUCAUAAGAAAAUUUAAAAUCUAUGGCUGCCCUAAGCUCCGAUCCAUGCCACAACUGGGCCUGCUCUCUUCACUUUCUUAUCUAUCUAUCUCUGCAUGUCCCUUGCUGGAACAAAAGUGUCAACGGGAGGCAGGGGAAGAUUGGCCCAAGAUUUCUCACAUCCAUGAGAUAUGGAUUAAUGACGACCAGAUCAAUCAAGGAUCAUGAAAGUCUCAAGAGCUGUUCAGGUCUAUGUGGGGGUCAAUUGGUCAUGCACCAAAUGUAGAUGGGAAAAAAAUGGAUAAAAGAGGCGAUUGCAAGUUCAUGAAAAAGGCAGGUGCUCCGAAGCCAGCACAUCCGAAGUAGUAUAUUUAGUUGUGCUGUUCGAGCAACAAGCUCUAUAGCUACAACUAAAGAUCACUCCCUUCUCUAUAUUGCAUCCCAAAGUUGGAAUAUCAAAUAUCAUAUGAUUAUGAUUUGUAUCAUCUCUUCUCUUCGAUGUUCUAUUGCACAUAACAAUUUGUUAUUUUUCUAUGGAUGAAUCCUCUGCUUCAUUGUACUCAUGUUAAUUGAGAUAUCCAUUUCACACUACUUCCUAUAGUUAUUAAACCCGGCCUUGCAGGUCAACCUGGUAACCCGUCAAUCGGGAGCACAAUAAGAACAUUAAGAAGUUAGAGUUGAGAUGGAUCGGAGAUACUAAAGUUUCGCAGCAUGAAUGAGGCAUGCUUGAGCAACUACAGCCUAACAAGAAUGUGGAAGAUCUUCUUGUUAUUGGUUAUGGGGGAACAAAACUUCCAGAUUGGGUAAGACACUCCUCUUUCUCAAAUCUAAGAAGCUCUGAGGCUUAGUAGAUGUAAAUACUGCUCCUCCUUACCGCCACUCUGUCAUGUAACAUCUCUUAAAAAGCUCUUGAUCAAAGCUUUUGAUGGCGUUGUUGUUGUUGGCUCUGAGCUAUAUGGAAGUUGUAGUUCCACACAGAUUCCAUUAACGUCUCGACAAAAACAAAGAGCUUUUUCACGCCUCCAAGUACUUCGUAUAAGGGACUGCCCCAACCUAACAACAACCCUACCCUACCCAACAUAUGGCCUGCGCAGUCUUACUGUGGAAUCAUUCCAACCGUUAGAUCCCCUGAUAAAGGAAAUGGAGCAACUGAGAUGUUUUUCAACUAUACAAAAGGUUAACAUUGCUUAUGUUCUAUUAAGUGCUUCCCACUAAAUUUUUUUCCCAAUUCAAAGCAGCAUGAGAUGAAGGAAUGUCCAAAUGUUGAAUCCCUUCGUGCACAAGAGGAACCUGCUGAGUGUUCACAUUUGGAUCUAGCUUCCAUUAGAAGAUUGCUUUGGCCUGAAAUCAGUGCAUUGUUUCCUUCCUUCCAUGGUUAAACUACAAAUAGCGUUUUGUGAUGAGCUCGAGUCAUUUCCUGGAGUGGGUUUGCCAGCAUUUCCUCUUGUUGGUUUGUCCUUCAAGUUAGAAUCACUGAUGAUCCGAUGUUGCAAGAAAAUCCUUGCUACCUGUAAGCAAUGGGAUUUGCAGAGACUCCCUUCUCUUUCAAGCUUUGAUUUCGGCAGAUAUGAAGAAGUGGAAUCCAUCCCCGAAGAAGGUAUGCUCCUGCCCUCCAGACUUAACUCUGUUAGAAUCUUUUUUCUUCAAAAUCUGAAAUCUCUGAACUACAAAGGGCUUCAACACCUCACCUCCCUUGGAGACCUCAAAAUUGAAUCCUGCCCUGAACUCCGAUCCAUCCCUCUUCACUUGCUUCUCUACGUAUCAAUUAUUGCCCCUUCUGGAAGAAAGAUGUGAGCAGGAAACAGGAGAAGACUGCCACAGGAUUUCUGACUGAAAUUUGCAAGCGUUCACGUGGCCAGGUGGCCGACGCAUACUGUACACACAUCAAUAAUUUUUUAUUAUUUGUAUUAUUUUA